rnacentral:lncRNA from 1 species
UAUAUUUUAGUUUUGUAUUUUGAUACAAUUAAUGAAAUAUUUGUUGGGAAUUCGGUACUCGCUCCGGUACCGGAUCUUGUAAAUCCGCAACACGCUCCGAUACCGACUGCUGUGGAUUCAGUACCCAUUGUUGGGAUUCCAUAACGGAAGCUUCGAAUCGGAUUUUUACCAUAAACCCGUCUCCUCAGCGAAAACUGAUACAAUCACAAAAGAGAGAAAAAUAUGCGGGUAAAAUAAGAUUCAUUAAAUAAAAGAAUAUUACACCUGACUUCUCUUCUGCACAGAGUAGCUACAACCCGAGCCUUCUUUCUGAAUCUCUCCUACCCUUCUCUCGUCUUCUAUACUCUCGGAAGACAUCUCUC